AUUCUAUUCAUAAUAUGAUUAGUACUAAUUAUAUUGAUUAAGCUAACUAAUCAGUAGUAUCAAACCUCAGAAGCAACUGAGAUUCAGGGAAAGAUAUGUGGGCUCUGAGGAUCGAGCAUAUAAUGAAUCAACUCAGUUUUAUUAAAAAAUUUGGAGUCGAUCAAUCACUGGUUUUUGCUUUGUUGAUCUUAAAAUUAAUAAUUAGUAUCUUUUCUUUGAUCUCCUUUAAUGAAUCGUGAUCUCUAACAAAUUAUUUUUACCUGUUUUUUAGUAAAAUUCUUUACUUUAAAAAAAUAAACUUCUUCAAUAAUUUUGAUUAUGUGUAAUUAAAUCUUUGUUUCCUCCGUGUGUUUACAGGCAGUGUUGUCAUUCAUGGCCUUUGCUACUGGUUUAGUUGUGUAUUAUGCGUUUGCGGCCGUUGUUUAAAAGCUUUUGGAAGCUAUUGUGCAUCACAUUAAUGUUCAAAAUAUGCUGAAGAAGAUAGAUCGGUUCUGGAUCUGGUUGACUCGUUCUCAAAGUGGAAAAGGCCGCGUCUUCUUUUUCUUCUCGUUGCGAUGAAAGGAAACGUUUCUGUUACCAAAAAUUUAGGAAAUUCUCUUCCAAAAUCCCAUAUUCUUCGUAAUAUGAUUCCAAAAACCCUGAAUCUCAUUCUUUAUAAAAAUCCUGAGUCUGUCAAUUACCCUAACACUUCAGAAAACCCUAAUAACUGGAGCCCUAAUUUUCUGAAAAUGGCCAACAACACUGGAAAGACAGUGGUGGACUUGGCGGAAAAAUUUAGAAAUGCAGUGAUUGAACUUGGUGAUGUUGAUGAAGCUGUGAUUCAUAACAUUGAAGGUGGAGAAAGGAAAGAAGGUGAUGAUUGGGAAGCUAUGCUGGUUGGAAAAAUUAUGAUUGAAGGAACAAUGGGUCUCAAAUCAGUAUAAACUAUAUCAAGUUCACCUGGCCAUUUAUUCCAGAAGAUGAAGUUAGGGUGUUUGAACUGGAUACCAAUAUUAUGGAAUUCAAUUUUAAGAGCUGGAUUACUCUCAACAAAGUCUGGGAAGAAAGACCAUGGAGCAUCAAUGGUUAUCUGGUAAUCCUAUAUGAUUAUAACAGACAAAUGGUUUAUCAAGAUUUAGACUGGGAACAUCAAUCUUUCUGGAUUCAAUUGAAGAAACUGUUACCAGAACAUAUGAAUCCUCCUGCUGUGAAGAAGAUUGGGGAAAUAAUGGGUGAAGUCAUUGCUAUCCAACCAGAAGAUGCAAUUCCCUCAGCUAGUUAUCCUGUAAAAGUUUGUGUUCAGAUUAACUUAAGCAAUCCUCUAAGAAGGGGAGUUAUGGCUCUCACCAACUCUGGCUGCACAAGAUGGAUUAAGUUCUUCUAUGAGAAGCAAACUCAUAAGAUCUGCACUGAUUGUUAUCUCCUGCAACAUGUUCAAGGGGUAUGUAAGGCUGCUGCUGAGUUCUUGGAUAAGGCUCAUAAGAAACCACAUUUCUUUGAGGCUGCUGGUACUGGGGGGAAAAGGAUUACUCAAGAGGGAAGGACUAAUUCUGUGAUUCCAAAAGCAGUUCAGAAGGAAACUUCAAAGAAAAAUAGCUUUGUCCAUCCUCAAGAUGGGUUAAGAGUUAUCUCAAGAACUGCAUUUGAGGAUCAAGAAGGUGACAAUUCUGGAGAAGGUAGACUUGGAAAAAGACCUAGAAGUGCUUCAGUUCAGCUUAUUCAAGACACAAGCAGCUCUUGUUCUUCUUCUUAGCAGUCUGAACAUCCCUGUGAUGCACAAACAACAGCCAAGAGCAUAACUGAGGACAACCUUCCAAAAAGCACUAAGGGGGAGCUCAAGGAAGCUCAUGUCUACCUGACUAGAAACAAUAACACUCAAAAUGUUACUGCGGUUGAGGAGCUGACCAGAAAACUUAAACAAUGGUAUGAUAUUGAGGAAGACUAUUGGAGGCAAAGAGGUAAGGAUGAUGCUAUGCUUUUAGAUGAUAGGAAUACUGCCUAUUUUCACCAGAAGGCGAACUUUAGGAGACAAAAACACAAAUUGAGUCUUUAUGAAAUAAUCUAGGAAAUUGGUUAGAUGAUAGGAAAUACAUUGAAGAAGAAUUGCUUGGACACUUCAGUAGUAUGAGUAAAACUUCCCAUCCUCCUAAUUCUGACUCUUUUCUUAGUAACAUAAAUGCUUGCAUCUCCGCCAAGGACAAUGAUAUGUUAACUGUUAUGCCAUCCAAUGAUGAAAUCAAAAAAAUUGUCUUUGAAACGAAGCCUCGUACCACUCCAGGACCAGAUGGCUUCCCACCUGGUUUUUACCAACUUAUGUGGGAAUUAGUUGGUCCUGAAGUUAUUGAAAUGGUUAAAUCUUUCUUUCACUCACACCAUCUUCUAAAACAGUUGAAUCACAAUUUUACAACUUUGAUUCCUAGAAUAACUGUCCUAAAGGUGUUGUAGAUAUUAGACCCAUAAGUCUUUGUAAUGUCACUUACAAAAUUAUAUCUAAACUACUUGCAUCUAGAUUAAAGUUUGUGUUAAAUAAAAUCAUAUCACUAGCUCAAACUGUUUUCAUUUCAGGUAGACUCAUUCAUGAUAUUAUUGUGAUUGCACAUGAAUUAAUCUAUUCCAUGAAAAAUGCAAAGGCUAAAGAUGGUUGUGUGGCUAUAAAAUUAGACAUGUCAAAAGCUUUUGAUAGAAUUAGAUGGUCCUUUCUUCUUGAUAGUCUUAACAAACUUGGUUUCUCACAUGAUUGGUGCAGCAUGAUUAGUGAACGUAUUUCCACAGUUUCCACUUUCAUUUACUGAAUGGUGCUCCAGGUGAAGUUUACUAUCCACAAAGAGGAUUAAGACAAGGAGAUCCAUUGUCUACAUAUCUUUUUAUUCUUUGUAUGGAGGCCCUAUCUAGAGGUGGAUGCAAUGGAUUGUGAGGAGGUGCAUCUUCUGCAAUAGACCCGGAGCAAGCUGAAGCAAGGCACUUCUAGAGGCAGUCUUGUGGGCAAAACAGAAGGGGCUCACAAGGAUACAACUAGAGGGUAACUGCUUGAACGUGAUUGAAGCUCUUAAAGGGAAACAAACAUCAGUGAAGUGGACUACACACAAUCUGAUACAAGAUGCUUUAGAUAUUUUAAGUACUUUUAAUUUUUGGUCUUCCAAUUAUGUGCAUAGAGAUGCCAAUCAUUUAACAGACUCACUAGCUAAAUUUGCAAGAACUCAAGUAAUUUUCUUUCAUUGGUUAAACUCUGGUCCUGAAUGGGUUUCUUCCUUAACCCAGCAGGACAAAACAUUCAUUUAGUUUCCUUUAUCUAAAUAAAUAACAUCUUUCCUAUUA